UACGGGGGGGGGCAAGCGUUGUUCGGAAUUACUGGGCGUAAAGGGCUCGUAGGCGGCCAACUAAGUCAGACGUGAAAUCCCUCGGCUUAACCGGGGAACUGCGUCUGAUACUGGAUGGCUUGAGGUUGGGAGAGGGAUGCGGAAUUCCAGGUGUAACGGUGAAAUGCGUAGAUAUCUGGAGGAACACCGGUGGCGAAGGCGGCAUCCUGGACCAAUUCUGACGCUGAGGAGCGAAAGCCAGGGGAGCAAACGGG
rnacentral:rRNA from 1 species